UACGGAGGGUGCGAGCGUUGUCCGGAAUCACUGGGCGUAAAGGGCGCGUAGGCGGCAUGCCAAGCGUGUGGUGAAAGCCCGGGGCUCAACCCCGGGUCGGCCGUGCGGACUGGCGUGCUCGAGCACUGUAGGGGCGGGUGGAAUUCCGGGUGUAGCGGUGGAAUGCGUAGAGAGUCCGGAAGAACACCGGUGGCGAAGGCGGCCCGCUGGGCAGGAAGGCUCGCAAGAGCCGGCUGACGCUGAGGCGCGACAGCGUGGGGAGCAAACAGG
rnacentral:rRNA from 1 species